rnacentral:tRNA from 1 species
GGAUAUGUAAGCUAAUUUAAGCUAUUGGAUUCAUAUUUCAAUCAUAGAUUAUUUAAUUCUCUUAUCUA